GGUAUCCUUCCCUCCAAAAUCUGAAUAUCAGAAAUAAUCCAUAUCAGAUUCUUGACAUUCUUUAUUCAAGAUUUUCUUCCAUCACUACUUGGCUUCUUUAAGCUAUUUUUUCCAGCUGUCCGGAUUAGUUUUUCUCCGCUUGUAGGUGACGUAGCGGACAACCUUGCUUGUGAGACCCAGGCAGUUUAUCUUAUCUAUUUUAUCCAUCUGAUAAUUAGUAUUUCUCCGCUUGUAGGUGACAUAGUGAACAACCUUGUUUGUCAGACCCAAGCAGCUUGUCUUAUCUAUUUUAUCCAUCUGAUAAUUAGUAUUUCUCCGCUUGUAGGUGACAUAGUGAACAACCUUGUUUGUCAGACCCACGCAGCUUGUCUUAUCUAUUUUAUCCAUCUCACAAUUGGUUUUUCUCCGCUUGUAGGUGACAUGGUGAACAACCUUGUUUGUCAGACCCAGGCAGCUUGUCUUACCUAUUUCAACCAUCUCACAGUGAAGCUUUCUCCGCUUGUAGGUGACAUAGUGAACAACCUUGUUUGUCAGACCCAGGCAGCUUGUCUUACCUAUUUCAUCCAUCUCACAAUUAAGCUUUCUCCGCUUGUAGGUGACAUAGUGAACAACCUUGUUUGUGAGACCCAGGCUUCGUGUCUUACGUAUUCCAUUCAACGUACAACUAGUUUUUCUCCGCUUGUAGGUGACACAGUGAACAAUCUUGUUUUUAAGACCCAGGCAGUAAGUCUUACCUAUUUCAUCCAUCUCACAAUUGACAGCAUAAGUUUCAGACUCUCCAUCUACUGAUUUAUACUGCUGCUCACAUAUAUCAAAAGCUUUCCCUUUAAGCUUCUUGCCUUUUAAAACAUCACUUUCAUUUUCAACCAUGUUUUUCCCUAGAUCACUUCCAUAAUUCCUCAACCUCUUCUCUUGGUCAUUAUUUUCCUCUUCAGAUGACAAGUCAACUAAAUUGCUUGAUUCCUCACCAUUCAUUUCGUGUUUCCUCUUUUGGAGUAAUUCUAUUAGAUCCAUAAGCUCUCUGUUGACCUGGAGCAAAAAAU
rnacentral:lncRNA from 1 species